CCUACGGGUGGCAGCAGUGAGGAAUAUUGGUCAAUGGACGAGAGUCUGAACCAGCCAAGUAGCGUGAAGGAUGACUGCCCUAUGGGUUGUAAACUUCUUUUAUAAAGGAAUAAAACGAGGCACGUGUGCCUUUUUGCAUGUACUUUAUGAAUAAGGAUCGGCUAACUCCGUGCCAGCAGCCGCGGGAAUACGGAGGAUCCGAGCGUUAUCCGGAUUUAUUGGGUUUAAAGGGAGCGUAGAUGGGUUGUUAAGUCAGUUGUGAAAGUUUGCGGCUCAACCGUAAAAUUGCAAUUGAUACUGGCAGUCGUGAGUACAGUUGAGGUAGGCGGAAUUCGUUGUGUAGCGGUGAAAUGCUUAGAUAUCACGAAGAACCCCGAUUGCGAAGGCAGCUUACUAAACUGUGACUGACAUUGAUGCUCGAAAGUGUGGGUAUCAAACAGGAUUAGAGACCCGAGUAGUC
rnacentral:rRNA from 1 species